GAGCAGAGCUCCCUGUGCUAUACGGUGAGUGAGACAGAAUGAGAAACUUGUCCUUCACAUCCUGAUUCUUGUUCAGUGCUGAAAAUGUGACCUCCAUAAGAUGACAUCUACUGCCUCUGGUGUGCACAGAAAUCUGAU